GAUGAGAACCUCCGGGGGCAGAGGUUCAACUCGAGCGUAGCGAGAGAACGUUGCUUCAGCAACGGCCCGAAGGGCGAGCCACGCAGUGACGAGUCAUC
rnacentral:sRNA from 2 species